AUGGGGCUGUUCCUCUUGGCCGAAGGGGUGCACGCCAAGAUGGACACACCAAGGUCCCGUUUCUUUUGGGAAGGUGCGGGACCCAAACGCAAGUACCAUAUGGUCAGAUGGGACGCGGUGUGCAGACCCAAGGACCUAGGGGGGCUAGGGAUCACAAACACACGGAUCCUCAACAUUGCACUCAUGUGCAAAUGGAUCUGGAAGUUGUCGCAGGGGGCGAUCGAUCUGUGGGUGGACAUGCUGCGCAAUAAGUAUUUCCCCAACGGGAACUUUUUCGAAGGCAGGGCGCGGGGCUCUCCCUUCUGGAACGACCUCCAAGCGGUGCGCCCGGCCUUCGCCCUUGGCGCCAAGUUCGUCGUAGGGAACGGGCGCUCGGCCCGCUUUUGGCUUGACCUAUGGCUGGGAGCGCAGCCCCUUUGGGCCCAAUUCAGGACUUGUAUGUCCUGGCAGUCAACCCGGAGAUGA
rnacentral:rRNA from 1 species